rnacentral:rRNA from 1 species
UAUACCAGCGUUCCAUGCAGUCGCACGGCAGCACGGACUUCGGUCUGGUGGCGAGUGGCGAACGGGUGAGUAAUGUAUCGGAACGUGCCCAGUAGCGGGGGAUAACUACGCGAAAGCGUAGCUAAUACCGCAUACGCCCUACGGGGGAAAGCAGGGGAUCGCAAGACCUUGCACUAUUGGAGCGGCCGAUAUCGGAUUAGCUAGUUGGUGGGGUAACGGCUCACCAAGGCGACGAUCCGUAGCUGGUUUGAGAGGACGACCAGCCACACUGGGACUGAGACACGGCCCAGACUCCUACGGGAGGCAGCAGUGGGGAAUUUUGGACAAUGGGGGAAACCCUGAUCCAGCCAUCCCGCGUGUGCGAUGAAGGCCUUCGGGUUGUAAAGCACUUUUGGCAGGAAAGAAACGUCGCGGGUUAAUACCUCGCGAAACUGACGGUACCUGCAGAAUAAGCACCGGCUAACUACGUGCCAGCAGCCGCGGUAAUACGUAGGGUGCAAGCGUUAAUCGGAAUUACUGGGCGUAAAGCGUGCGCAGGCGGUUCGGAAAGAAAGAUGUGAAAUCCCAGAGCUUAACUUU